rnacentral:rRNA from 1 species
CCAGACUCCUACGGGAGGCAGCAGUGGGGGAUAUUGCACAAUGGGGGAAACCCUGACGCAGCGACGCCGCGUGAGUGAAGAAGUAUUUCAGUAUGUAAAGCUCUAUCAGCAGGGAAGAAAAUGACAGUACCUGACCAAGAAGCCCCGGCUAACUACGUGCCAGCAGCCGCGGUAAUACGUAGGGGGCAAGCGUUAUCCGGAUUUACUGGGUGUAAAGGGAGCGUAGACGGUUAUGUAAGUCUGGAGUGAAAGCCCGGGGCCCAACCCCGGGACUGCUUUGGAAACUGUGUAACUGGAGUACAGGAGGGGCAGGCGGAAUUCCUGGUGCAGCGGUGAAAUGCGUAGAUAUCAGGAGGAACACCAGUGGCGAAGGCGGCUUACUGGACUGUAACUGACGUUGAGGCUCGAAAGCGUGGGGAGCAAACAGGAUUAGAUACCCUUGUAG